rnacentral:misc_RNA from 1 species
GAUGAAGAACGCAGCAAAAUGCGAUACUUGGUGUGAAUUGCAGAAUCCCGUGAACCAUCGAGUUUUUGAACGCAAGUUGCGCCCGAAGCCAUUAGGCCGAGGGCACGCCUGCCUGGGCGUCACACGUCGUUGCCCCCCCAUCUACUCCUUCGGGAUUGCGGGGGGCGGAUGAUGGCCUCCCGUGCGCCUCGCCGCGCGGUUGGCAUAAAUGCCAAGUCCUCGGCGACGCACGCCACGACAAUCGGUGGUUGCGAAACCUCGGUUGCCCGUCGUGUGCGGUCGUCGCGCAUCGAGGGCUCGAAAAAAUUGCCGGGUUCCGGCUCGGCUUUCAACGCGACCCCAGGUCAGGCGGGGUUACCCGCUGAAUUUAAGCAUAUCAAUAAGCGGAGGA